GACGAACGCUGGCGGCGUGCUUAACACAUGCAAGUCGAACGGAAAGGCCCUGCUUUUGUGGGGUGCUCGAGUGGCGAACGGGUGAGUAACACGUGAGUAACCUGCCCUUGACUUUGGGAUAACUUCAGGAAACUGGGGCUAAUACCGGAUAGGAGCUCCUGCUGCAUGGUGGGGGUUGGAAAGUUUCGGCGGUUGGGGAUGGACUCGCGGCUUAUCAGCUUGUUGGUGGGGUAGUGGCUUACCAAGGCUUUGACGGGUAGCCGGCCUGAGAGGGUGACCGGCCACAUUGGGACUGAGAUACGGCCCAGACUCCUACGGGAGGCAGCAGUGGGGAAUAUUGCACAAUGGGCGGAAGCCUGAUGCAGCAACGCCGCGUGCGGGAUGACGGCCUUCGGGUUGUAAACCGCUUUCGCCUGUGACGAAGCGUGAGUGACGGUAAUUGGUAAAGAAGCACCGGCUAACUACGUG
rnacentral:rRNA from 1 species